rnacentral:lncRNA from 1 species
CAGAUAACAAGUCCAUAGAAUCAUAGUACCAUCAAGGAGGCCUCCAUGUUAGCCUCGUCGGUGGUGUCACCACUCUUCUACAUUUUGCUCUAUGGGAAUGUGGGAACGCUGGUGUUUUAUCCUACGUCUGUGCUCUACGCUUACCAGCCGAAUUGUUUUGUGUGCUAUCCAUUUUUACAGAGAAAGUAGCCUUUAUAUUGCUCAAUCAAUAGGUCUUUUUCAAGCAUAGGCAAAAGGUAAUUUUAGGGGUCAUGGAGCCAUAUAUAUCUAUAAAUGAUAAUGAUGUUGUGCCCGCCCUGUUAGAUUCUCUCGGGUAGUGAACAAAGGUUGCUUUUCACAAACUCAUUCAACGAUCGGUCUUGCUAUCAGAGUUGAUGUGAUGAUGUCUACCCAGUUACACCCCAUUUGCAGCGCCAUGGCCUCUACAUCCAAAAAAAAAAUUCUUAUCUUGAGGUGAUUGCCUCACACCUUGGGCAUGAACUAUGAGAUGGUUCGGCUGGGGUCGAUCGAUCUCGCCCAUGCUGUUUGAUACCAGGUUUCUUCUUCGCAGCAGCUGUUUUGAAGUUAGCAGCCAGGACCCUGAGCAACAUAAACAGGCAAUUGGGUCGACGGGAGCUUGGAACUUCUCCCCAUCAAUGUGCCGCCAGCGCCUUCCACCGUUCCACGAAAUGGACCACAGCGAUCAUAAUAUGUACUGUAGUUCCAGUGAUGCUUGUCCUGCCCUAUCUGCCGCCAAUGCUUCACUUGUUCCGUGUUGGGGCAUAUCUUUCGUUGCCCAUUAGUGGUAGACGCCAAUGAUGAAAGCAAUCAAACUAGUUUCCUCCUCUUAUCCUCUUAGGUUGUGCAGAGUUUGCAGUGAGUGAAAAACAUAAUCAGCUGUUAUUUGCACAACUUUUUCAGUGUGAGUUACUAUACAAUCGGCAAAACUGCAUCCAUGUCAUUAUGGAAUUUGCACACACAAAAAAACAUGAUGCAGAAGCAUCGUAGAGGGUAGAUAAAACUUGCUAUCCAAAUUAUGGAAACAAAACUCAAUAGCGACAGUCAACAGCACACAAGGAACAGAACACAUCUCGCUAGUACAACUUCAGGGUACGUAUAUAGGGAUGAAAAUGCUAAAUGCUCAUGGAGCUGGGUUUUUUUUAAAUAAAUCGGAAAUUACAGUUUCCAGUUUCAAAAAGUUCUAAAAAGAUCACACGCGUUCUUACAGAUAAUUCUUGUGUGUAAAUUUUAAAGAUGAUUAAAUUAAUGGCGACAUCUACACUAGGAAGACAAAAUCGUGAUUUUGAAAAUGGUUUAACAGAUUGUGUAGCUCUUCAUCGUUAGAACGUGUAGAUUUUUCUCAGAAUAUUUUUGUUAAUUGAAUAUGUGUUAUUUGAUUAUUAUUUUAAAGACUCCAUGGAGCUCAGAACAUUGCUAAUUUAGGCGACUUCUCAAAAAACAGUCCACAAUCUAACCCAACUAUCCAAUCUAACCCAACUAUCCAAUCCAAUCCACAUUUCAAUUGGUAUAGAUUUUUUUCAGUACUACACUACUGCAAAACUAUCUCAUCAUGCAAAAAAUUAUUUUUUAAACAAACAUUAGCAGCAUAACACAGACAAUCAUAGCACAUGAGAUAAAAGCAACAAUAUAUAUCCAGAUCAUGGAAACAAUACUCUUAAUAGCAACUGUUAAGAGAAAGCAACAGCAGAGAAGGAACAAAUCUCGCUAGUACAACUUCAGGUUAUAUAGGACAUUGUAAACAUAGCAGGCAACUUUCCUCCUCAAACGACCAGAGCCUUACAGUCCAUUCCAUCCUUGCCUAACAAAAAUGCAAUCUAAGACCUGGGCUUCUCCUUUUUCUCCUUGAAGAGAGCGAGAAGCGACACACCAGAUACCUUGACAACCUUGAACCUGACACCGGGAAUAUCUCCCACGGCAUGACCCUUACGACCGAAUCCAGCAAUCAGUACCUCGUCCUGAAGCAUCCAUCAAAGUCAAGAGGUUAGGUUGGUUGCAUAUAGCAGACAUUUCACAUAUCUGAGCAAUGGGUGAGGGGCACAUACAUUUUCCUCGAUGAAGUUCAGGCAACCAUCAUUGGGCACAAAGGCAGCGAUCUUCUUCCCGUUCUUCACCAGCUGGACACGAGCACACUUACGGAUGGCAGAGUUAGGCUGCUUGGCCUC